CAAAGACUUCCUGGAAGGAGGCCGCUGACGUCAUGUCGCCGAGUCUCUGCUGCCCAGUGGUGGCGGGGAGGGGGUUCUGUUUCCGAAGCGCCACAGCCAGCACUGUCGGUGGUUUCAGGGCUCCGGAAGAGGUGGUAUCCGUCCGCCCAGAGUCCCCUCUGUGUCGAGCCACGGGCCUUCGGUUCUCCCUCCUCGGCGCCCGCCCGCCUCCCUGCCCGCCCUGCCCCGGCUCGGGCCCAGGUCCGGCUGCCCCAUACAUUUAACUCUGAUUUUUUCCCCGCUGGGAAACCCUCUUUGCUGAGAUCCAGCAGCCACACCAUUAGCUCCGGACAUGAAGGUGUGGUGCCGCCUGCAAAGAAUUUGCGUCUGAGAAUUGUUCUCCGCGGACCAGAGACCAUUGCAAAGGUCUGCGAGAGUCACCCUGUCUCCUCAGGCCGUCGUGAGGCAGUGGGUGCUUCCAUUUGUCCAGGGUUCCUUCGUCUGGGUGAGGGUGUGGGGGGGCUGAGGCCUCCUCCCUGCUCCCUCAGCAAGCACCGGCGUGGAGCUGUCUGGCUGCAGGAGGACAAGAGGGCUCGGGUCCGGGGCUGAGUGGACGCCCCAGGAGGAUGAGACCGAGCCCGGGGUCCGUGCCUGCUUCUCAGCUUCCAGCCAGCGUCUUUUCUAAGUGCAGACCAGGCGAUUGCAGACUUGCUUUUCCAGGCAGGCUCUAGGAACACCUGUGAUCCGAGAAUCUCUUAGUUUUAGACCCAAGUCAAGUUGUGUGUCAGAGCCCAGUCGGGGAACAGAAGCCGUCCCAGGUACUUAAACAGGGAAAAUUUACUAUAAACAAUAGUUAACUAGGCAUCGCAUUGUCAGGUCACUGAAAAGGCAGGAAGACAACACUUGGUUUUCAUAAUGGUAGUAAUCACAGGGGACUGUGGACUUGUAGGACUUGGAGACAAAGGGAAGGAGAUGGAAUUAUAAAAAUUAGGACUUGGGGGAGUGCUGCCUGGGGCGGGGGGCACAAUCCGUUAAGCAUCCAGCUCUUGGUAUCAGCUAGGCUCCUGAUCGCAGGGCCCUGGGAUGGAGCCCUGUGCUGUGCUCUGAGCUCAGCAUGGAGUCAGCUUGAGAUUCUCUCUCCCUCUGUGCACCCCUCCCCCAUCUCUCUCUAAAACAAAUAAAAGUAAAUUUUAAAAAAAAAUUUAGGAUCUU
rnacentral:lncRNA from 1 species